rnacentral:siRNA from 1 species
UGACUCCUUGAAUUUUGGGUGAUG